UACGGAGGGUGCAAGCGUUGUUCGGAAUUAUUGGGCGUAAAGCGCGUCUAGGCGGUUUUGCAAGUCUUGUGUGAAAGCCCCUCGCUUAACGGGGGAAUGGCGCAAGAUACUGCAAAACUAGAGUACGGUAGAAGAGGGCGGAAUUCCCGGUGUAGAGGUGAAAUUCGUAGAUAUCGGGAGGAACAUCAGAGGCGAAAGCGGCUCUCUAGGCCAAUACUGACGCUCAUACGCGAAAGCGUGGGGAUCAAACAGG
rnacentral:rRNA from 1 species